rfam:Nelumbo nucifera unplaced genomic scaffold scaffold01305, whole genome shotgun sequence
AGUCCAUGAUGAGGGACCUUCCUUAACAGCUGCUUGUAACGCUCCCACGACUCAUACAAUGAUUCUCCAUCUUGCUGAAAAAAAGUGGUGAUGUCAUUCCUCAUCUU